AUUGAACGCUGGCGGCAGGCCUAACACAUGCAAGUCGAACGAGUGGCGGACGGGCGAGCAAUGUCUGGGAAACUGCCCGAUGGAGGGGGUUCACUACUGGAACCAGUAGCUCAUACCGCCUACCUGCGCAUGUGCCCAGAUGGGAUUAGCUAGUAGGUGGGGUAACGGCUCACCUAGGCGACGAUCCCUAGCUGGUCUGAGAGGAUGACCAGCCACACUGGAACUGAGACACGGUCCAGACUCCUACGGGAGGCAGCAGUGGGGAAUAUUGCACAAUGGGCGCAAGCCUGAUGCAGCCAUGCCGCGUGUAUGAAGAAGGCCUUAGGGUUGUAAAGUACUUUCAGCGAGGAGGCGUUACUCACAGAAGAAGCACCGGCUAACUCCGUGCCAGCAGCCGCGGUAAUAC
rnacentral:rRNA from 1 species